rnacentral:tRNA from 1 species
GGGAUUAUGAUGCAGUGGUAGCAUGCUUCAUUUGCAACUCGUUGGAAGCUUGAAGUUGGCCGGUGUUCGAUCCACCGUGAUUCCA